AUUGAACGCUGGCGGUAGGCCUAACACAUGCAAGUCGAACGGCAGCACAGUACUAGCUUGCUCUUACGGGUGGCGAGUGGCGGACGGGUGAGGGAUACAUCGGAAUCUACUUUUUCGUGGGUGAUAACGUAGGGAAACUUACGCCAAUACCGCAUACGACCUACGGGUGAAAGCAGGGGAUCUUCGGACCUUGCGCGAUUGAAUGUGCCGAUGUCGGAUUAGCUAGUUGGCGGGGUAAAGGCCCACCAAGGCGACGAUCCGUAGCUGGUCUGAGAGGAUGAUCAGCCACACUGGAACUGAGACACGGUCCAGACUCCUACGGGAGGCAGCAGUGGGGAAUAUUGGACAAUGGGCGCAAGCCUGAUCCAGCCAUACCGCGUGUGUGAAGAAGGCCUUCGGGUUGUAAAGCCCUUUUGGUGGGAAAGAAAAGCAGCAGGUUAAUACCCCGCUGUUCUGACGGUACCCAAAGAAUAAGCACCGGCUAACUUCGUG
rnacentral:rRNA from 1 species